GAAAAUAAGGAUACACAUUUCAUUGAGAGAUAAUUGACUCCAUACUCAUACAUAGUAUAACAUAGCAGUACAAAGAAUGCUUAAUAGUUAAUAGUGACUUGAACUCCAUUCUUCUCUUCUGUUUCUUUUUCGGUCUCGCCAUUCUAGCUAGUCGUUCAAGAAGACGAAUCCAAUCGUCCCCUUGACAAGCAUUACGUAUAGCAAAAGUCAUUGUACUUGCAUAUACAACGUAACUUUAUAAAACGAUUCAUGUUAGCUAUCAUUCGUUCCCAAAUACAGGGUGGCGAUAAGCUUUGGACAAAUAAUGUCAUACGUGGUUAGUGAAUUGUUCGUUCGUUCACAAAACUUACUCUGUUAGUCCAGAGUUCCACUACACAGAUUCGUCAGCAUGACUUCCAUCCGCAUUUUCUUUGCCUAGCUUUGAUUUCGAUAGAGAUUGUUUAGAAGACGAGGGCUGCAAGUUAAGGUAAGUGUAGAAAGACAUACCAACAAGAGCCGUAAUGGCUCCUAGUAUGCUAAUUGGACCCGGAUUUGAACCAAAGAUGAGAAAACCUCCGAGUAGAAUGACACACGUUUUAAAUUGGCCGAGUACCACAUGAGUUGUUGCAGAUGUUGCCCCAAGUGCGAGAGCACCUGACCACUGAAGCAAGAAACCAAGAAUAGCCGAGGCACCAAUGAUUGUCGAGUUGUAAAAGUUCCAACUAAAUGAAAGGACACCGGGAGGAUCAAGAUAUGGCAUCAACACCACCAGAAAGAAUAAUGUAAUCGGUGUGGUUUUCCACAUCAGCGCCAGGGCAGUCCAAUUCUCCUGCUGCUGGAGAUUGGACCAUAGUAUUUUAUUAACUGCACUUGGUACUAUCCAUGCUACUGCAAUGCAAGCACCGAAGAAAUGAAACUGCAAAUCUGUUACCGUAGCAACAGCAACACCUACUGAUACAACAGUGAGUGCAAGCACCUUUAGGAAAGAAAUUUUCUUCCGAAAGAGAACAAAUUCAGCUAAAA
rnacentral:misc_RNA from 1 species